CACACAGGAACACAGAUACACAUGCAGUGGUGUAUUUGUGUGCAGUGUUAGCGUUGGAAUGUAGUAGUGUAUAUGUGUGCAGUGUUGGUACUGGAAUGAUGGAACGUAUGCAUUGCCACACGCAUAGAUACACACUUACACAACCUGACACUCAUAUACAUACACAGACACGCAGGUACACAUACAAACUGACACACAAGUACACGGACACAGGUAUACAUCCACAUAGAUACACAUAAACACUGACACAAAGGUACACAUACACUGACACAAACACAGCCAGAUACACACACACUGACACUCACACAGCCAGAUACACACAUACAGCCAGAUACAAACGCACACACAUACAGAUACACACGCAUAAAGUCAGAUACACACGCAUAGUCAGAUACACACACACACAGUCAGAUACACAUAUACAGUCAGAUACACACACA